rnacentral:rRNA from 1 species
UACAGAGGGGGCAAGCGUUGUUCGGAAUUACUGGGCGUAAAGGGCGCGUAGGCGGCCUUCUAAGUCGGACGUGAAAUCCCCGGGCUCAACCCGGGAACUGCGUCCGAGACUGGAAGGCUCGAAUCCGGGAGAGGGAUGUGGAAUUCCAGGUGUAGCGGUGAAAUGCGUAGAUAUCUGGAGGAACACCGGUGGCGAAGGCGGCAUCCUGGACCGGUAUUGACGCUGAGGCGCGAAAGCCAGGGGAGCAAACGGG